rnacentral:rRNA from 1 species
CCUACGGGAGGCAGCAGUGGGGAAUAUUGCACAAUGGGCGGAAGCCUGAUGCAGCGACGCCGCGUGAGGGAUGAAGGCCUUCGGGUUGUAAACCUCUUUCAGCAGGGACGAAGCGUGAGCGACGGUACCUGCAGAAGAAGCACCGGCUAACUACGUGCCAGCAGCCGCGGUAAUACGUAGGGUGCGAGCGUUGUCCGGAAUUACUGGGCGUAAAGAGUUCGUAGGCGGUUUGUCGCGUCGUUUGUGAAAACCCGGGGCUCAACUUCGGGCUUGCAGGCGAUACGGGCAGACUUGAGUGUUUCAGGGGAGACUGGAAUUCCUGGUGUAGCGGUGAAAUGCGCAGAUAUCAGGAGGAACACCGGUGGCGAAGGCGGGUCUCUGGGAAACAACUGACGCUGAGGAACGAAAGCGUGGGUAGCAAACAGGAUUAGAUACCCUGGUAGUCCACGCCGUAAACGGUGGCGCUAGGUGUGGGUUCCUUCCACGGGAUCUGUGCCGUAGCUAACGCAUUAAGCGCCCGCCUGGGGAGGUACGGCGCGACGACGAACGUACGAAGAAGUAGACGGCGUGUAGACGUUGCGACGACGACGACGAGGGAGGAGG